CCUACGGGUGGCAGCAGUGAGGAAUCUUCCACAAUGGGCGAAAGCCUGAUGGAGCAACGCCGCGUGAAGGAUGAAGGCCUUCGGGUUGUAAACUUCUUUUAUGAGUGAAGAAUAUGACGGUAACUCAUGAAUAAGCACCGGCUAACUACGUGCCAGCAGCCGCGGUCAUACGUAGGGUGCGAGCAUUAUCCGGAGUGACUGGGCGUAAAGAGUUGCGUAGGCGGUUUAAUAAGUGAAUAGUGAAACCUGGUGGCUCAACCAUACAGACUAUUAUUCAAACUGUUAAACUCGAGAAUGGUAGAGGUAACUGGAAUUUCUUGUGUAGGAGUGAAAUCCGUAGAUAUAAGAAGGAACACCAAUGGCGUAGGCAGGUUACUGGGCCAUUUCUGACGCUAAGGCACGAAAGCGUGGGGAGCGAACCGGAUUAGAUACCCUAGUAGUC
rnacentral:rRNA from 1 species